CCUACGGGAGGCAGCAGUGGGGAAUAUUGCACAAUGGGGGAAACCCUGAUGCAGCGACGCCGCGUGGAUGAAGAAGUAUUUCGGUAUGUAAAGCUCUAUCAGCAGGGAAGAAAAUGACGGUACCUGACUAAGAAGCCUCGGCUAACUACGUGCCAGCAGCCGCGGUAAUACGUAGGGGGCAAGCGUUAUCCGGAUUCACUGGGUGUAAAGGGAGCGUAGACGGGCCGGCAAGUCUGAAGUGAAAGGGAGGGGCUUAACCCGUGAACUGCUUUGGAAGAUGUCAUGCUAGAGUGCUGGAGAGGUAAGUGGAAUUCCUGGUGUAGCGGUGAAAUGCGUAGAUAUUAGGAGGAACACUAGUGGUGAAGGCGGCUUACUGGACAGUAACUGACGUUGAGGCUCGAAAGCGUGGGGAGCAAACAGGAUUAGAUACCCCAGUAGUC
rnacentral:rRNA from 1 species